rnacentral:rRNA from 1 species
AGGAAUCUGCCUAUUAAUGGGGGACAACAUCUCGCAAGGGAUGCUAAUACCGCAUACGCCCUACGGGGGAAAGCAGGGGAUCACUUGUGACCUUGCGUUAAUAGAUGAGCCUAAGUCGGAUUAGCUAGUUGGUGGGGUAAAGGCCUACCAAGGCGACGAUCUGUAGCGGGUCUGAGAGGAUGAUCCGCCACACUGGGACUGAGACACGGCCCAGACUCCUACGGGAGGCAGCAGUGGGGAAUAUUGGACAAUGGGGGGAACCCUGAUCCAGCCAUGCCGCGUGUGUGAAGAAGGCCUUAUGGUUGUAAAGCACUUUAAGCGAGGAGGAGGCUCUCUUGGUUAAUACCCAAGAUGAGUGGACGUUACUCGCGGAAUAAGCACCGGCUAACUCUGUGCCAGCAGCCGCGGUAAUACAGAGGGUGCGAGCGUUAAUCGGAUUUACUGGGCGUAAAGCGUGCGUAGGCGGCUUUUUAAGUCGGAUGUGAAAUCCCCGAGCUUAACUUGGGAAUUGCAUUCGAUACUGGGAAGCUAGAGUAUGGGAGAGGAUGGUAGAAUUCCAGGU